UCUCAUUUCGCCUCGAAUCGCUCGAUUCCUCCUCCGACAGAACCCUAGAGCGAGCGCCCCCUCCCCCCUCCGAUCGCCUGAUUCCUCCAAUCGAGAAACGAUAGGAGCUAAAACUCUAGGCGAGCCCCCUCGACCCCCUCCUCUGCUCUCCUAUCGCCCGAUUCCUCCAAUCGUUAAACCGUAGAGCGUAUCCAGUUUGGUUGCUCUAUCAUUGGUGGGCGACAUUACUCCCCAUCGGAGCGAGGAUUCUAAGAAGAGUAUUUUAUUGAAGAGUAGUUAGGAUUCAAUUGAGUCCGAUGAAGUGAUUGCGGUGAUCUAUUGAUGAGAACGAGCUUCAAGAGACUGGUUAUUUCGAUGAUGGCACCUGAGAGGAUACCAUGGGGCUGCUAGAUCAGAUGAACAUAAUGUUGAACGCCAACACGGCUAAGGAUUCAGGAACAAGAUGGAAACAUGAACUUAGAGCCCUUUGCCUACAGUGAAGGCGACUUGAUUGUAAGGACAUGGCGCGCGUAUGGCCGUAUGCUGAACGCGUGCGAUCUGGACCAGAGCCGGAGAUGGGCUUAGUAUUUCUCUUUCUUUUAUUAAGAAGAGAUAAGGAGACUAGAUUGACUCUUUGGUUCAGUUUGUUUAGGAAGGAGUGCAAAAAAGAACAGGAGAGGAGAGAAAUAAGUCGUAAGGGAGUAUAAGAUUUAUACUUUAUGACUACGUUUGAUUCGGGUAUAUAAGUAAAUAUUGCUUAUUUCAAAAAUAAGUACAAGUUGAGGUAUAAUCAAGAACUAGAUCAAUUUUGUAUUUGGAUAAAAAUUAAUUUGUUCAUAGAAAUAAGAUAAAUGGUAUUUGGAUAGUUAGAUU